rnacentral:siRNA from 1 species
AGACGGUUCAUCGAGCCAACAGCCU